UGGUUUUUCUGUUUCCCUUUACACCCUCUCUGAAGGUGUUAUACCAAAUCUGUCUUCCUCUCUCCCAAGAUCUAUGGCCCCAAGAGAUUGCUGUGCAAAUCAUCAAAGGGUUUGCUCAAAGCAAAUGUGGAUCAAACUGCUAAAUUAAUGGGAGACAGGCUUCUAGGACACUGUUUUGUCUACAUCUCCUGGAAAUGUCUUGGUUUUCAAAGGCAUUCCCUGGGUUUGCUUCUGUCGAAACGGCAAAUUAGUACAAUAAUGAAUUUCUCUGAAUACAAAAGUGUUGUCCUCCCAGGCUGGGAAUUGUUUUAAAGCUGGUAUUUUAUUGAUCUAGAUCAAUGCAGAAGAAAAUCAGUGACCUGAAAUGUGAGCAGAAGUUGCACAAAGCAGCCACUGCCUGGGGACCUGAAGUUACACUUUGCCUGCUGUGCCAUUUUUAUCUUGAUCCCUAAAAGUAAGCAAACAUUGCCAUUCCCACCAGGCCGUGUGUUCCCAGGCAAAGCCAAUGCUGGCACUGGCUCAAUAGCUGAGCUAAUGAGAAGAGAGCACCUGAGUAGCGUUCAGCCCUUCACCACCACCUGCUUGUGCCAGGAGACACCUUCUGUCUUCCUUUGCCCCUUGUCUUCCCCAAAUCUGCUUCAUUUGCUUCUUCCUGACUGUUUCCCUUCUGUCAGCCCCAUGCUCUGAGGUUGGAGAGCAAAGGCAUGUGAAUGCAUCUGCACAAGAAAACACAGAGGUCUUGUGGAACGCUUGUGGUCCUGUCUGUGUGUCCCUUGGCCUUUGUCCUGCACCAUCCUGCUGCAGUGGGUCAGCGCACCCUGCACAAUGGCUUUUUUCCUUUUCUGAAAUGGAGGGUUUGGAGGAUUAAAGCAGGAGAAGAUCUGCAGGCUGAGCAGGGGAAGUCCAGAGAAAAGUCAAGAGAAACCAUCCAGUCUCUACAAACUCAUCCCUGAGAAUGUUUAUCCCUGCUCCCUGCCGGGAACAUCAGCACCCUGCUUCUUUAUCCCUGACCUGAGAUGAGGAAACCUGUGACUGCUUCUAACCAUGCCAAGCUGAGAGGUCACUGUUCAUAUUGUUGUGUUGAGUAACCUUGUGAGACACUUUCAGUCUUAAAUAAAAGCAGUGUCUGGUAAAAACACUGGCAAA